CCCGCCUCGCCCCGCCCCGCCCAGCCUCGCACCGCAGAGCCGCGCAGCUCAGCUCAGCCCAGCGCCGCGCCCUCCCGGCGGAGGGGGACGCGCGUCGGGCCCGGGGCCGCCAGCCCUCGCUGCACCUGCCCCGCCGUCACGGACCCGCGUGUUCCCGCGCCGGGCGAAAGGCCACACGGGCAGCUGGCUUGAAGUCAAGACCAUUCCAUCCCACAGUUUUCCACCUCCAUUUUUGGCAGCUUACCUGAGUCAUAAAGAGAGCGGGGGAAUUUGUGUGCCUCCUACAGCAACUCAACAUUUUCUUUGUGCUAGUGUUGUGUGAGUGGCAGACUUUAACCCUUGUGGGAAUGCAUAACUCCUCCACCGAAUAACCCCUGGAGCAAGCAAUAACCCCUGCAUUAGGAUUCAGACUCACAGGAGGACCAGUCCUACAGAACCAUGCUGGCUGUAGUUUGGACUGGAACUCCUAGAAACCCCAGGGCACUGGGAACAAAGAAGAAGUGACAAAGUGGAUGAAGGAGCUAUGGGAGAGCGGAACCUGGACUGAUGGCAGCUCUGCCACUCAGCUAGCUGCAGUCCUACAGCAGUUAUGUUUGUUGUGGCAGGAAGUUAAACUGCACUGUAAUAAUAAUAAUAUACUGUCAUUAAUUAAUUGUCUGCCCCCCAUGGCCCUGAUUUAAAUUUUCAGGAUUGCAUGAAUUGAUAAAAAUAAAAAAUGCUUAAACAUAAAUAUUGAUAUUAUCCAUCAACAUUAUUAAAAAAUAAAGCUCAAAUUCUGCCAAGCCUACUAAUAAUAAAGAGCAAGUCAAAGAUCUCUGGACAUAAAACAUAAUAACAUUCUUCUCAAUAGUUACUUCUGAAGUGUUUGUGAAAGUCUUGUACAGAUUUUAGGGGCAGAGAACCUCUCAGCUGUCAGGCUUUGUAAUUCUUCCUAACAUAAAUUAAGCUUAAUAGCAGGUAUCUGCCAGAUAUCUUCUCUGACUAAAUAAAAUGCAUAGAGGUUGGGUUAGAGCACAUAAGAACUGCAUUUACAUGUUUCAAAGAUAGAACUUAGCCAUUGGUGAUGAAAUGAUGAUUUUACAAAAGAAAAUAUAUUUAAAAUACAAAGGAUUCUCCCUGUUGGGUUCACUUCUAAAAAAAAUACUAGAGGUUUGGAAGAUUCCCCCAUUCUCCUAUACAACAGUAGGAAAUUUAUCAUUUGGGACACACUCACUUUGACCUAUUACACAAACCCUAAUCAGUACUCCAAAAGAAAUGAAUACGACACUGGCACCACAGUCCCUGACAAUAUGCCAGAAAGAAAAAAAUCCUCCCAGUCUGAAAUAUGAUGAUCAUUUCAUGCAUGUGAGCAAGCAUCACCCUGUGUCUCACUGUGAAUCAUCGCACAGCUGAUCCCAGUUGCACUCUAAGGUCGCCUUGAUGACCAAAUAAUCAAAUAUGUCCAUUUGUUUUCUGGAAUCCUAUUAAUGUGACUCUUAACAGUACCUGCUAUGUUAGAGAAUUCAUGUGAAGUCCCUAUAAGAUGUAUCAUAAAAUGAAGCAAGUUUAUAUAGUCUGUACAAAUACACCAUUCCCGUAAUAGUCCUGUCACUUGAUGGCAGUCUGGCCAUUUGUUAACUGCAUCUUAAAACCUUCUUCUGUGCCAUUAUAAUGUUUCUGACCACAUGAACAAGCCCAUUAUGAAGCCCUCUUUUUUUUUUGCUUUUCCACAGGAACACACUGUAAUUUGCUGCCCUUCUUUGUGCUUGAGUGAUGGUAACACAAAGAGUAGCAGCAAAUUGCAAUUUAACUUCCUUGACAUUAGGAUUAAAGCCAGAUUUGCUCGAUUUUAUUCUGCAAAUGGAAUUAAAGAAGGAAAAUUAAUUGGACAGAACCAACAAAACAAUUCAGAUAUGUUGCUGAGUAAAUGAUAGUGGCUAAGUGGCUUUUAUUUGGUCUAACAAGGACUGAAAUAGCUUGUCAAAAGUUUAACAAAUGUCAGGAGCAUUCAAACACUAAUAAAGUUUGAAAGACUGAGGUUCAUGUUUUCCCCACACAUGCCCACUGUACAGUAUUUCCAUCAAAAACUCAAAAAAAAUGGGAUAAUUAUGCAAAUAUAACUUGUCAAGUUCAUCAACGUGUGAUAUCCAGAGAGUAACUCAGUGGCUUGAGGGAUUCCAAAUAGGCCAGAAAACUGAUUGCCUAGAGGUCACAAUUUGAAUCUGAUCCAGACCAAUAGGAAUUAAAAAAACGAAUACUGUUGGGCUCCAUGUGAGGAAAGAGUUGGGGUUAACAGUCCAAAUCCUCAAAAAAACCGCCCAAAAAACAAAACAAAAAAACCGAAAACCCCAGCCCAUCACAGUUAGCACUAACUGGUACUCUUGUUAUAUCAGCAAGGUCAAGAAUGGAGAAGGCACAAGUGCUAAAUAACCACUUCAGCAAUAAAUGUAGCCUUUCCAGGAAGGAGGAGUCAUAGGGACUGGGAAAGCUAAAGUGGGUCUCAAACUGGACAGCUAGACUCACUAUUGCAUUGUAUGUCCCAUUCGUUCCUAGUGAUUUGUGUCCAAUAAUGUGUCUAACAUAUUUUUUUCAAGUGGUUUCCCUUUUCACUUUUUUGAAGGAAGGGGCAGUUGAUAAAAAGCCAGACCCAUAGCCCCCUCUUAUUGAUUUCUGGCAGGAUCUCCUGUUUGUGAAGGGUAUCAGCAGUCACCUUGCUACUUAGGGGUGUUUGGAAAGUAAUUACUCAUAUUCUGUGGAACUCUGAUUUAAAAAAAAAUAAAAAUAAUAAAAAAAAAAUCAGCAAAAAAUCACAGCCUAACAUUUUCAGCUGAAAAUUAAAAAAUUUUGGCUGUUUAAAAAAAAAAGCCAAAAAUAUUAGACUGCAAAGCAAAACAUUUGAUUCAGAAAUUCAGUCUAGUACUUUAUGAGAACUGGAAUUUGUUUCCGUCAUGCUCUCCCUCUUCAUGGCCUGGAUCCUGUAGCCAAAAUGUCUCUCUCGUGAUGCAUAAGGGUCUUCUGUCCUGGUGACCCACAGCAAUGGGUAAGGGAGUCCUUGGCUCCUGCAUGCCAUGGGAAAUGUAGUCCUGCUCAGGAAAACAGGGCACAGUCUGGUGGGGAGGUGGAGCAGCACAGUAUGCCAGGCAGGCAAGCACCACUGCUGCUGCGCAGAAGCAAGGUAGGCAGAUUGGAGCAGGCAUCACACCGCCUGCACGUGCCCAGCCUGGCUUCUACUGAGCCGCAGCUGGAGGUGGGGGGCAGGCCAGGCUGGGCACCUCUCCAAUCUGCUCUCUUUGCUCCUGCACAGCAGCAGCAGUGCCUGCCUGCCCACCUGCCUAGCAUACCAUGCUGCUCUGCCUUCACUUGAAACACAGUGGCCUGGAUUUCCUUAAAAAGAAUAUGGUUACCAUAUUUAAAUGUCACUUGAACUCCUUUAAGCUGUUGCUGAUUUAUUGCACUACCAAGAAAUCUAAAUCUAUAGGCAUUGUAUAAACAAAUUACAAAGAAGACAGAGUGUAUUAUUUAGCUCUUAGUGUCCAAUAGGAAACUUGGGUGGAGUUGAGGAAUGUGAAAGUAAGCUUAUAAUAAAUCAGAUAGCUGGUUGUUAUCAAGCUUUAAUUUGUAUGUGUAGCAGAGUUUUCCUUGUGGCUGUAAGCACUGUGCACAGAUGGGGCUGGGAGCCCCACAACUGAGGGGACUCUAAGCCCCAGCAGCUGCCAGGACUGAGUCCCACAGCUGUGGAUGCUGGGUCCUGGCAGUGCACCGCCCAAUGCCAGGGCCCAGUUGAGUACCAGCAGCCAUGGGGCACAGCUGUGAUCUCCCAGUCCCAGGGAUGCAUGAAAUCCGUGGGACUGGGAGAUUCCAGCUGCCAUGAUAUCCCAGCCCCAGUUGUAUGUGAAACUCCCAUGGUGGGAAGACUGUGUCAGCUGUGAUCUCUCAGCCCUGCACUAUUGAGAAACUCCCAGAUCUGGGAGAUCACAGCACCUGUGUCUUCCAGCUGCAGGGAUGCAUGGGACAAGCCUGCAGCUGGGAGCCCUUCAGCUGAGGGGGCUCACAGCUGCAGGAGCUUGCUCCUUGCUACAGCAGGGAGAGUCUCGGAUUGGGCUUCCCCUGCACUAGCAUAAAGGUGUGAUGGGAUCUAUUGUGUGAUCCCACAAUUGCACCUCCUGGCAUACAGGUAUGGCAUGGCAGGGGGCAUGAUUGUGUGGAUUGCACAUUAGAUCCCAUUACACCUUUACCUGCACAUAGAGGGGCCCAGACAGCUUAGCAUAAAGGCAUGUAUCUCAGCUAAAAUGGGACCAAGAGCAAGAUCCCAACCACAGUAUCCAGCAGAGCAUUUUAAUAAGUGCAGUGGUUUUCAACCUGUCAUCUAUGGACUGCUGGGGUCUUCAGACUAUGUCUAAUGAGUCCCUGAAAGAUGGCUAUGAUCAAUCAAAAGUAUGUGAAUAUCAACAUUUCCAAAGGGGUCCACACCAAAAAUUUUUUAUUCAUUUGCUUUCGUUUAGUUUUUCCAUAAAUGAAAAAAGGCUGAAAACCACUGAGUUAGUGGGACAGUGCUGUGGCCCUGCAGUACCUGUCCUGUCCACAAAUGAAGGAUUUUGACACCUGCCAUGGGCACUAUAUUGACUUUGAAACUAGGGUGGAGGUAGGAAUAAUAACAAGUAUAUAAAGAAGCACAUUAAAAACAUCAAUAGACAUGAAACAUUUUAUGAUGCUCUUGUUGGAAUACUUUCCAGGAAAAAAACCAACCCCAUAAAGAUGGAGUGCUCAUAAGUACACAGUUGUUUCUUGUCUUAGAAAAAUGAUUUCCCACUGAAAAUAAAUAUCUCCAAGUUUCCAAACAAAGGAAUACAGACACUAUUUUUUUACAUUUCCAGCGAGAAAGAAGCAUACAAAAGGAACAACACGAGCUGUUUAAUUGGCAGUUCUCAGAGUUUCUGUGUGCAUCCAUUAUUUUAAGAUCAGUUCAGGAUCCCACACUCCAAAGCCCUCUGUUCCACAUGAACUUUUGAAACAAGCCAGAAAAAUGAAAAAAGAGGCAGAGAGAGCAAGAUAAAUAGUUUAGUUCAAUUGAUUUUUCCUCAGUCUAGUUUCAAAAAAGUCCAGACACACAUGAUUUAAAUGCUUUUGAUGAUUUGGAAACAAGUUUUAAAAUAAGAUGAAAUUCAGUAAAGAAAAACACAAAGCAUUGCAAUUAGGAAGGACGACUAACGCAAAUACAUACAAAUACAAAAUGGGGAAUACCUGACAAGGUAGGAGUUAAAGGUUAAAAUAGAUCGCAAAACAAAUACGAGUCAACAGAUAAAUCAGUCAUUUGUCAGGGGUACUUUAGAUAUGUUUGAUCCUGCCUCAGAGCAGGUAGAUGAACUAGAUGGCCUCUUGAGGUCCUUUCUAGCACUGUUUCAAUGAUUUCUGUAACUUUUUUAUUCAUAUGUUCAAAAUGAGUGCUUUGCUGUGUAAAGCCCUAGGGCUCAAUUCUCCCAUGGCAGAGUAUAAGCUGAUUUUAGGGAGAGUUAGUUACUCUCAUCUCCCAGCUCCCCCUUCAAACUAUUUCUGUUACAACUUCAAAACAAGCCUGUAAGAUGUGUAAGGCCCAUGAUCUUCUAUUCAGGUGUCUCAUUACUAAAUGCAUAACAGCAUAACAUUGCGUGAAAACAAUUGAAUACCACAUAGUUUUGUAAAGCAGUUGCUUUACCACUUGAAGUUUCACUUGUUGAACAGACUGAAAGGGCAAUACCUUCCUUUCUUUAUUAUUUCAUCAUGCUGGUUGUUCCAGCCAGUUCAGUUUUGAAAUUUGUGUAAUAUUUGUUUGCUUUUAUGGAAAGUGUUAGCAAUUGUGGCCCAUUGAAGAAGUUUGCUGUGGGCUUUUCGAGCUACAUUCAGAUUUCUCCAAGCCCAGUUUUUCCAGCCUCCUGGGUAAUAUUAAUACAUCUUAUCUUGGAUUUACAGAGUUCUCUUGUUUUCCACAAGAUGUAUUAAGGAAGGGAAGCAUGGGAAGUAGAAUUAAUGAUCAUAUUACUAGGAGUUUUGUGCGCAUGAAGACAAGAACUUGACUCUUAUUGCCCAGUUCUAGUCUCCGACUAAACACAGAGCAUGAGAAUUGUAUCAGUAGAGCUGAGGGGAAAUGAAACAUUCUCCCUUCACGUUGCAGAGUAUCUGCAAACUUGUUACAGCAUCCCCAGGGCUACACGGAGACAGUGCCUUCGCCUGUUGCUCCUGAAAGCCCUUAUUGCUCCUGAAGAAAAUGGAUUCCUAUCUGGUACAGCUCCAAGAUCUGGGGAUUAUACAUCUCUGGCCUGAGUCUACUCAGUCUUCCCCACUCAUACAGAGGGCUAAAACACAUUUCACUGUAAACCAUACCUUUGGUUGCCUUAUUUGGAGGAAAAGAUUGUCUUUUGCAUCAUACAGAAUGGUAGUAAACAGGAUAUUUCAUACAAUAUGUAAUACAGCCCUCCCUGUAUGAAAUACAGCCCUUCAUACAGCCCUCCCUGUCAGGCCAAUAACAGCCUCAGAUGUGCUAACACAUUCUGCCUGCCAACUCCAGGGCAAUGGGAGCGCCUGACAGACAGCGGCUUCCCAUGUGUUAAACAUUAAUAGCUUUCCAGCUUUGCCUCUGGAUUUCCUGUUGCUGAAGACCCGAGCUGCCUCUCUGGAGAUGUCAGACCGUGACAGAACAAUUACUUAUCCAGCUCAGUGCUUCUGGAGAGGGCUGAUGGCUGCGGCAUGGCAAGGGGGAUAGGUUUGCCCGAGAGUGGCACAGGAAAUAUAGGGGUGGGAAGGGCUCGCUGCAAGACUUUGUCAGGAAAAGAGCACCCACUGCACAGCUGGGGAAGCAGAGUCCUCGGCAGAAGAUGAGCUUUGAUAUGCAGGAGAUACCAGCUCAGCCUCAUCACCCCUGCUCCCAUGCACGGGUGAUGAGACAGAUGGGCCAGCCUAGUGCAGGGGGCUGGACCCGAUGAUCUUGCGAGGUCCCUUCCAGCCCUUACAAUCUAUGAAUCUAUGAAUAUGGAGGAUUCUAUAGGGUGUCUGCUUCCCCCAAAAGCAUCAAGGUACCUUUUAGUUCAGUGGGUUUUAUUUUUAAGUACAGAAUAAGAUAUGUCUGACCUAAUGGACAAAGAGUCUGACAACCAUGAAGGGCCACAUCUCAUUCCUUCCCAAAGAUCAAGGGAGAAUAGCAUGCACAUUCAUUAAUCCAGCAGCUACCUAGCAGGGUUCAGGCUAUGAUUCCUUUCUGUGUUGCCUGUUUUGUGCAUGUGUGGAUGUAUAUCUUGCUCCAGUUCUCUCUCUCUCGUCUGCUCUUC